CUGCAAGUUAAGGGGUGCCCGACAUUUCGAGCUGAGAUUAUACCCUAAAACCUGAUCUGGAUAAUGCCAGCGGAGGAAAAAGGAUACCAAGAAAC
rfam:Prevotella sp. oral taxon 299 str. F0039, complete genome.